GCAUUGGUGGUUCAGUGGUAGAAUUCUAGCUUGCCAUGUUGGAGGCCUGGGUUUGAACUUGAAGGUAAGCAUUGGUGUUUCACUGGUAGAAUUCUAGCUUGACAUGUUGGAGACCUGGGUUUGAUUCCCAGCCAAUGCA